UACAGAGGGGGCAAGCGUUGUUCGGAAUUACUGGGCGUAAAGGGCGCGUAGGCGGCCUUCUAAGUCGAACGUGAAAUCCCCGGGCUCAACCCGGGAACUGCGUCCGAUACUGGAAGGCUUGAAUCCGGGAGAGGGAUGCGGAAUUCCAGGUGUAGCGGUGAAAUGCGUAGAUAUUCGGUGGAACACCAGUGGCGAAGGCGACUCGCUGGACUGAUACUGACGCUGAGGUGCGAAAGCGUGGGGAGCAAACAGG
rnacentral:rRNA from 1 species